AGUUUCCGACGACCACGGAGAAUCCUGGUAGAGAAGCUGAAAAAGGAAAUAAACAGUCGUCAUAAAGCGAGCAAUUGAAGAGCUAAUUUUUUUAGCCCGUUUCUUUGUAUAGAAGAUGACGAUUGUUUUAGUAAGUCCGGGGAGAGAUUCGAGUUGCUGCGACUACUAAUGCCGCCGUGGCCACAAUGGCUCACGCUAUGACACUGCACGUAUAGCUUUAUUUCGAAAGAAGUACAGUAAAUCGCAAGUGUAAAGUUACCGUGCUUGGAACCCUUAAUCUGGUCGAUUUUGCAAUGAUUUUGAGUACUUAGCUUAAUGUCCUGUUAUAAUAGCACUUUAAUUAUAAUACUGAUUAAGUGAAAAACUGUUUUAACGCACUAACUUCUAUCUCAACUCUCUUUCUUUUACAUAAACAUUAUAAAGAGAUAGGAAGGCAUUUUCUCUGCGGUAUACUUAUGUAAAUAAUGAAUUACAUUUUUAACAGAUAAAAUGCUCAGUAACGCACAGAAGUAUUCGAUGUGUGUAAAUAAUAUAACGUACGAAAUGAUAUUUACGGGUUUAUUGUAAACAAAGAAUUUUUCUUAUCUUCAAUUUACUCCGACUGGAUUAGGUACAUAAGGAUGAAAGAGACAGAUGAACCGUUGAUGCCCAGUCGUUACCCACCAAUCCAAGAAGCGGAGGAAUCGUCAAUGGCGAUGAUGGAGUCAGGGAGACGCAGCUGGGGGAGUAAUGCGGUCACGAAGCCCAUCACAAGGCCCAUUCCCGCCAUGUUCAGGGACACGCCGAAAGUGACGAAACACUGUAU